UACGUAGGGGGCGAGCGUUGUCCGGAGUUACUGGGCGUAAAGCGCACGCAGGCGGUCUCUUAAGUUUGCAGUGACAAUUCUCGGCUUAACUGAGAAGGGUCUGUGAAGACUGGGAGACUUGAGGACUUCAGAGGGACACGGAAUUCCGGGUGGAGUGGUGAAAUGCGUAGAGAUGUGGAGGAACACCGAUGGCGAAGGCAGCCCCCUGGGUCAAGACUGACGCUCAUGCACGAAAGCGUGGGGAGCAAACAGG
rnacentral:rRNA from 1 species